rnacentral:rRNA from 1 species
AACCUGGAAAUAGCUGGUUCUCCCCGAAAACUAUUUAGGUAGUCCCUCGAGCAAGACACUGAUGGGGGUAAAGCACUGUUAUGGCUAGGGGGUUAUUGCAACUUACCAACCCAUGGCAAACUAAGAAUACCAUCAAGUGGUUCCUCGGGAGACAGACAGCGGGUGCUAACGUCCGUUGUCAAGAGGGAAACAACCCAGACCGCCAGCUAAGGUCCC